AUCCCAUAAUGAGGAUAUUUCCACAGGAGCUCCUUAAACAUAUUCCAUGUCUCAAAAAGAGUCUCCAGUUUCAUUUGCACAAAGAAGGAAGUUUCAUUCCUAUGCUU